ACUGAUCCUUCUCCCACGGUUUCCUUCAAUUUCUUCAUUUCCACAUUUUCCUCCAUACCGUUACGCACCUAACCCAUGAUCUUGCAGUUGAAUUGGUUUCUCCUCACAUCAAAAACCCUCAUCCCCCUGCAGAUACAUCUUCUUUCCUUCUCCUCUCAACCUCUCUCCCUUAACUGUGCGAAUAGCCACUGGAAUUGGAGCAUCACCGUCGACCACCUCCACACGAUUUUGUGUCGCCGUCGACCCCUCUCACCGGAAGUGCUAACGUUGUGACAUUGAUAGAGUUCGAGUCUAAAGUUUAAGUAACUCUCUGCAAUGAUCAGCUACAAAAGACUGAUCUUGCACUAAGGAAGAAAUGAUCCGACAAAUUUGGUAAAGGCUUAGAGCAUUACUUUGGGAAACUAGUUCUUUCAAGUCUUCGCAUACAACAGAGCCAAAAUCAGUGUAGAUAACACUAAUGGCAAGAUCAGCAUCAACUGAAUUGAGAAUCCAAGAUUAAGCCAUGUCAUUUCAUCAUUGCCACAGUGCAGAUUCGUCCGGAUACUUGGUUGGGUCUAGUCUAUAAAGUCCCAAUUUACUUUUUGCACUUGAAGCCAUUCACAUGGCUCGACUUCAAGUUGAAUAGUUGUCUCUGGUUAAUGAACGAGGGUAUGUUUGUAGGGUGAGAUGAGAAUUUUGUGUUUUGUUUUGUAUUUAAAAUAUUUUAUCUUAAUAUUAUUAUUGUUUUGAGAUUUAAAAAA